GGCCGCAGAAUUUUAACUGUGCAAAGGUAGCAUAAUCACUAGUUUUUUAAUUGAAAGCUUGAAUGAAUGGUUGGACGAGGCACUAGCUGUUUCACAUUAAAUAUUAGAAUUUUAUUUUUUGGUAAAAAAGCCUAAAUUUUUUUAAAAGACGAGAAGACCCUAUAGAUCUUUAUAGUUAAAGUAUUAUUAUUUAUUAGGAUUUUUUUUAUUAAUAUUAUUUAUGCUAUUUUGCUGGGGUGGCAGAGAAACUUGUCUAACUUUUUUUAUUUUUUGUACAUUUAUUUAUGUUAAUAUUGAUCCUUUAUUUAAGAUUAAAAAUUUAAGUUACCUUAGGGAUAACAGCGUAAUCUUUCCGGAGAGUUCAUAUCGAUGGAAAGGAUUGCGACCUCGAUGUUGGAUUAA
rnacentral:rRNA from 1 species